UACAGAGACCCCAAGCGUUAUCCGGAUUUAUUGGGCGUAAAGCGUGUGUAGGCGGCAAUGAUAGUCAGAUGUUAAAUUCCAGCGCUCAACGUUGGAGCUGCAUCUGAAACGUCAUAGCUAGAGACAAGUAGAGGUUCAUGGAACAUAUGGUGUAGCAGUGAAAUGCGUUGAUAUCAUAUGGAACGCCAAAGGCGAAGGCAGUGAACUGGGCUUUGUCUGACGCUGAGACACGAAAGCGUGGGUAGCGAACGGG
rnacentral:rRNA from 1 species